CGAGUCGGCCAGGCGAUCGCGGCACCGGGAGACCGGUGUCGAGGAAAGUCCGGACUCCGCAGAGCAGGGUGGUGGGUAACACCCACCCGGGGUGACCCGCGGGACAGUGCCACAGAAAGUAGACCGCCCGAUGAUCGCAAGAUCACCGGGUAAGGGUGAAACGGUGGUGUAAGAGACCACCAGCGCCCCAGGUGACUGGGGCGGCUCGGUAAACCCCACCCGGAGCAAGAUCAAGAAGGGGACGCCUCGGUGUCCCCGCGGAAGCCGUUCGAGGGUUGCUCGCCCGAGGCUUCCGGGUAGAUCGCACCAGGCCGUCGGCAACGACGGUCGCAGAUGGAUGAUCGCCGCCGCGUCGCGGCACAGAAUCCGGCUUACCGGCCGGCUCGCCCU
rnacentral:RNase_P_RNA from 1 species